UACGGGGGGGGCAAGCGUUGUUCGGAAUUACUGGGCGUAAAGGGCUCGUAGGUGGCCAACUAAGUCGGACGUGAAAUCCCCAGGCUCAACCUGGGAACUGCGUCUGAUACUGGAUGGCUUGAAUCCGGGAGAGGGAUGCAGAAUUCCAGGUGUAGCGGUGAAAUGCGUAGAUAUCUGGAGGAAUACCGGUGGCGAAGGCGGCAUCCUGGACCGGCAUUGACGCUGAGGAGCGAAAGCCAGGGGAGCAAACGGG
rnacentral:rRNA from 1 species